rnacentral:rRNA from 1 species
CCAAUAGCGUAUAUUAAAGUUGUUGCAGUUAAAAAGCUCGUAGUUGAACUUCGGGAUCAAGGGAUCGGUCAUGCCUUGGUAUGUACUGGUCUUAUUGGUUCUCACCUUCUAAAGAACCAUAAUGUCAUUCAUUUGAUGUUAUGGGGAAUUAGGACUGUUACCUUGAAAAAAUUAGAGUGUUUAAAGCAGGCUCACGCUUGAAUACAUUAGCAUGGAAUAAUGAAAUAGGACAUCCGAUUCUAUUUUGUUGGUUUCUAGGAUCGAUGUAAUGAUUAAUAGGGAUAGUUGGGGGCAUUAGUAUUCAAUUGUCAGAGGUGAAAUUCUUGGAUUUAUUGAAGACUAACUACUGCGAAAGCAUUUGCCAAGGAUGUUUUCAUUAAUCAAGAACGAAAGUUAGGGGAUCGAAGACGAUCAGAUACCGUCGUAGUCUUAACCAUAAACUAUGCCGACUAGGGAUCGGAUGAUGUUAAUUUUUUAAUGACUCAUUCGGCACCUUACG